GUAGUAUUGUGCCUGUGUAUUUUAAACAGUCGGCUUUGUAAAUACGUAGAGAAGAGAAGUAAUAUUAGAUUUAUUUAUUAAUUUUGUUUAUUACUUACCAGUUGUAAAAUUAGUUAGUUGUGUUAAAUAAAACGAAGUUCUUUUUCUUGAAGUUAAUGGAAUAUUUAGUGGAUGCUGUUAACGCAACGCUGCAGUGGUAGGAGUCCCGCGAGUUCAAGAUCCAGGUCAGUUUUAAUACCACAAGAAAGACAGAAGCUGAGGGGGGAACGGGGGUCGAAUUCAUGCAACACUGGCAAUGUUGCAACAAAUGCCUUGUUCUACAAAGAUAAUGCUGGAAAAUUUAACAAAAUGGAUCCUGACAAAAAAGGAAAAUAAAGGACUUGUGGCUAAAUAUAAUAGAAUGAAAGAAAUGGAC
rnacentral:lncRNA from 1 species